AGCGAACGCUGGCGGCAGGCCUAACACAUGCAAGUCGAACGAAGUCUUCGGACUUAGUGGCGGACGGGUGAGUAACACGUGGGAACGUACCUUUUGGUUCGGAACAACUCAGGGAAACUUGAGCUAAUACCGGAUGAGCCCUUAGGGGGAAAGAUUUAUCGCCGAAAGAGCGGCCCGCGUUAGAUUAGCUAGUUGGUGAGGUAAAGGCUCACCAAGGCUACGAUCUAUAGCUGGUCUGAGAGGAUGAUCAGCCACACUGGGACUGAGACACGGCCCAGACUCCUACGGGAGGCAGCAGUGGGGAAUCUUGCGCAAUGGGCGAAAGCCUGACGCAGCCAUGCCGCGUGAAUGAUGAAGGUCUUAGGAUUGUAAAAUUCUUUUACCAGGGACGAUAAUGACGGCACCUGGAGAAAAAGCCCCGGCUAACUUCGUGCCAGCCGCCGCCGUAA
rnacentral:rRNA from 1 species